rnacentral:rRNA from 2 species
AACGACUCUCGGCAACGGAUAUCUAGGCUCUCGCAUCGAUGAAGAACGUAGCGAAAUGCGAUACUUGGUGUGAAUUGCAGAAUCCCGCGAAUCAUCGAGUUUUUGAACGCAAGUUGCGCCCGAAGCCAUUCGGCCGAGGGCACGUCUGCCUGGGUGUCACG